GAGUGACAAAGAGGAUACAGUAGCUUUCACUUUAAGGAUGAUUAGUAAGGGGGAAUCUAUAAUAGAAGCCAUGGAAGAGCACAGCUUUAAGGAAUGGUUACUUGUUCACUAGCUUAUAUGUUUUGUUUUUUUUUUCAAGUUGAGUAAAACCAUACGAUAGCUAUAGACUGAAGGACGAAGGUAGCAAAGAGAGAAAUUAAAGGUACAAAGGUAUCUAGGAAGAUGUUUAAAAGCCAAAGUUAAAGCCUCAAGAUUUC
rnacentral:lncRNA from 1 species